rnacentral:rRNA from 1 species
GAUGAACGCUGGCGGCGUGCCUAAUACAUGCAAGUCGAGCGAACAGACGAGGAGCUUGCUCCUCUGACGUUAGCGGCGGACGGGUGAGUAACACGUGGAUAACCUACCUAUAAGACUGGGAUAACUUCGGGAAACCGGAGCUAAUACCGGAUAAUAUAUUGAUCCGCAUGGUUCAAUAGUGAAAGACGGUUUUGCUGUCACUUAUAGAUGGAUCCGCGCCGCAUUAGCUAGUUGGUAAGGUAACGGCUUACCAAGGCAACGAUGCGUAGCCGACCUGAGAGGGUGAUCGGCCACACUGGAACUGAGACACGGUCCAGACUCCUACGGGAGGCAGCAGUAGGGAAUCUUCCGCAAUGGGCGAAAGCUUGACGGAGCAACGCCGCGUGAGUGAUGAAGGUCUUCGGAUCGUAAAACUCCGUUAUUAGGGAAGAACAAAUGUGUAAGUAACUAUGCACGUCUUGACGGUACCUAAUCAGAAAGCCACGGCUAACUACGUG